AGAGAAAACUGGGUCUCACGACCCGACCUACCCCACACACACCUGUGAACUGUUUAUACGUCCUGACGGCCUUAACGGGUCCGACGGGCUACUUUACAAAACAUCUGUAACAAGUCUUGAACGUCAACGUUAUAUCUUAAACAAAAACA
rnacentral:misc_RNA from 1 species